GGAAAACGGCGACCAGAGAGUCAUAACCAUAGUAACAGACGGAGUCCAGUUGGGGCAACUCCACACCUCCCAGCACAUGCGCCACCCGCUUCUAGUGACCAUUCAGAAUGGCGAACAAGUUGUUGCAAUACCAGAAGAAGACAUCAUAGAAGAGGUGGUGACGGAAGACGAGCCUCCUCCAACCAAGAGA